rnacentral:rRNA from 1 species
UACGUAGGGAGCAAGCGUUAUAGGGAUUUACUGGGUGUAAAGGGUGCGUAGGCGGCUUGGCAAGUCGAAAGUGAAAGAUUAGGGCACAACCUUAAAACUGCUUUCGAAACUGCUGAGCUAGAGUGUGGGAGAGGAAAGUGGAAUUCCGAGUGUAGCGGUGAAAUGCGUAGAUAUUCGGAGGAACACAAGUAGCGAAGGCGGCUUUCUGGACCAUAACUGACGCUGAGGCACGAAAGCGUGGGGAGCAAACAGG